CUUUUAAAAGUAUCUUUGCGCUUGGGGCAAUGACGCAGCUAGUGAGGUAAUAACCGAGGCGCGUCAAUUGCUGGUUGAAAACUAUUUCCAAACCCCCUCUUCGGCCAGGGCUUGACCUUGGCCGUCGAGAAUUUCUGGAAGGGCUACCUCUCUGAGGGUAAAGUCCUACAAUUCUUAGUUUUAAAUAUUAAUAAAUUUAUAUUAAAGUGGGCUUAAAAUGGCAUGUUUAAUUAAUUAUUAAAUUAUUUUAUGCUUAAAUUAUGCCUAGUGUUUAUUAAUAGCUGAAAAAUGUAAAAAUUAAAAUUAAUGAAAUUUAUUUUACUAUAUAUAACAGAGGAAAUAUCUGUUACUUUUCUGAUGUGGGUUUUGGGAAUGCGUUGGCUAUUAAUUAUUACUCCAUAUUCAAAAAAUUCUGUGCUCUGUACAUCACAAUAAAGGUGAAAGUUAUUAGAGGAGUUUGAGUUGAUUGAAUUUUUAUAAAGUUUUUAGCUUUUGAGAAUCAUCAUGGAUUUUGGGCACUGCUGUUUAGAUGGCAAUGCUGAUGCUGUUGAGUUCUGUCCCCAUGAAGGGUUCCAGAACAUUUUAGCUGCUUGUACUUACAACUUACAAGAGGGUGAUCAGCCAACUCGAUCAGGGAGCAUUUCGUUGUUCGAUGUUAAUGGUAGCAGCCGUAGUCUUAAUCGAAUUGGCGGUAUUGAAACUGCUGGUAUCUUUGAUAUUAAGUGGAAUCCGGUAGGGGUUGGCGCGAGUCCUUUGCUUGCUCAAGCUGAUGCUGAUGGGUGCUUGAGGGUUCAUGACCUUGAGUGCUCUUCAGAAGGAUCAAGUUUUGAAGGGGCCUUACUUAAAGAGCGCUGUGGCAUUCAGAUCAGCUCCUCAAUGUGCCUCUGCUUGGAUUGGAAUUCCUCGGCCACAUCACUAGCAGUUGGGCUUUCUGAUGGGUCUAUCUCUGUUUCAUCUCUUGCAGAAUCACAACUCACUGAAGAUCAACAAUGGAAAGCUCAUGACUUUGAGGUUUGGGCAGCUACCUUCGACACCCACCACCCAGAUAUCGUAUAUACUGGUUCAGAUGACUGCAAAUUCCUUGGAUGGGAUUUAAGAGGUGAUCUUUCAAUGCCAGCAUUUCAGAACUCAAAGGUUCACAAAAUGGGCAUUUGUUGUAUCGUUAAGAACCCUAAUGAUCCAUAUUCUUUGCUUACUGGUUGUUAUGAUGAACAUUUGAGGGUAUGGGAUGUCAGGUCAACCUCAAAGCCUGUGAAUGAAACUUCUAUUUGUCUAGGGGGUGGAGUUUGGAGGAUUAAGUAUCAUCCUUUUGUCAAGGACCUUGUUUUAGCAGCUUGUAUGCAUAAUGGAUUUGCCAUUGUCAAAACAACCAAUGAGAGUCCUGAGGUGAUCGAGACGUAUAACAAGCAUGGUUCGCUUGCUUAUGGAGCAGAUUGGCAGAGACGCAAAUCAGAUCAGGAAGGGAAGAGAGAGGAUAAUGUGGUGGCUACUUGCUCAUUUUAUGACAAGCUGCUUCGGGUUUGGAUCCCUGAGACGACAUACAUUCUUUUCUGAGGCUAUGGUUCUGAAAUUUCUGACUGUAUCAAAGAUCGAAUAAUUUAAGUUCUCAAGUUCAUCUUAGACUAGGAGAGGUUGAAAAUUGUACCCAAACUUCAGAAGCAGACAGUUUGAGCAACAGGGACCCUUUGAAGGAGAAAGAUAAUGUUUUUGAGGCUAUAACUAAAGGUUAGUUCAUAUUUCAACAGUCACUACUUUUUAUGUACUCAAGACAAUUUUGGGUGGGGCUGAUAGCACUAAGUUUGUCUUUGCUCCUACUUGUAUUUUCUGCUGUUAGAGUGUACAUUUUGGAUUCUUCAUUCAAAAUCUUGUUACUCCAUGCCAUUCCUCCUAGAUAUAACACUUGCAAACUUACAAAUUAGAUCCGAAACAAAAAGAAUUCAAACGAAACUUCUCGUAUCAAGCAUUCGAGCCCCUAAAAUCAACAAUCAUAGUUGAUACCCUCUUCCUGCUCCAGCCAAAAUUGCACUUGCAUUUAAUCAUCUCUGUCUAUUUUGCUGGACUGUUUGUCUAGGCUGUUAUCAAAUUCAGUGCACCUGUUCUUUUGCAUGCUUGCAGUAUGCAGUAUGACUGUUGGUCUCUAAGGCUUUGUUCUUUUCGCCUAAAAAUAAAAACUUUAAUAAGUUCAGAAAAGAUUGG